rnacentral:rRNA from 1 species
AUUGAACGCUGGCGGCAGGCCUAACACAUGCAAGUCGAGCGGAGCGGCGGACGGGUGAGUAAUGCCUAGGAAUCUGCCUGGUAGUGGGGGAUAACAUCCGGAAACGGGAGCUAAUACCGCAUACUCUAAGAUGAGCCUAGGUCGGAUUAGCUGGUUGGUGGGGUAAAGGCCUACCCAGGCGACGAUCAGUAACUGGUCUGAGGGGAUGAUCAGUCACACUGGAACUGAUACACGGUCCAGACUCCUACGGGAGGCAGCAGGGGGGAUUAUUGGCCAAUGGGCGAAAGCCUGAUCCAGCCAUGCCGCGGUUGUGAAGAAGGUCUUCGGAUUGUAAAGCACUUGAAGUUGGGAGGCGUUACCAACAGAAUAAGCACCGGCUAACUUCGUGCCAGCAGCCGCGGUAAGUU